rnacentral:rRNA from 1 species
ACGAACGCUGGCGGCGUGCUUAACACAUGCAAGUCGAACGGAAAGGCCCUGCUUUUGUGGGGUGCUCGAGUGGCGAACGGGUGAGUAACACGUGAGUAACCUGCCCUUGACUUUGGGAUAACUUCAGGAAACUGGGGCUAAUACCGGAUAGGAGCUCCUGCUGCAUGGUGGGGGGUGGAAAGUUUCGGCGGUUGGGGAUGGACUCGCGGCUUAUCAGCUUGUUGGUGGGGUAGUGGCUUACCAAGGCUUUGACGGGUAGCCGGCCUGAGAGGGUGACCGGCCACAUUGGGACUGAGAUACGGCCCAGACUCCUACGGGAGGCAGCAGUGGGGAAUAUUGCACAAUGGGCGGAAGCCUGAUGCAGCAACGCCGCGUGCGGGAUGACGGCCUUCGGGUUGUAAACCGCUUUCGCCUGUGACGAAGCGUGAGUGACGGUAAUGGGUAAAGAAGCACCGGCUAACUACG